rnacentral:rRNA from 1 species
GAUGAACGCUAGCGGGAGGCUUAACACAUGCAAGCCGAGGGGUAUAGAUAGCUUGCUAUUUUGAGACCGGCGCACGGGUGAGUAACGCGUAUGAAACUUGCCUUAUACAAAGGGAUAGCCCAUGGAAACGUGGAUUAAUCUCUUAUAGGACUUAAGAGUCGCAUGGUUUUUAAGUUAAAACUAUGGUGGUAUAAGAUGGGCAUGCGUCUGAUUAGGUAGUUGGUAGGGUAACGGCCUACCAAGCCGACGAUCAGUAGGGGUUCUGAGAGGAUUACCCCCCACACUGGUACUGAGACACGGACCAGACUCCUACGGGAGGCAGCAGUGAGGAAUAUUGGUCAAGGGGCGAGAGCCUGAACCAGCCAUCCCGCGUGCAGGAUGACGGCCCUAUGGGUUGUAAACUGCUUUUCUGCUCCAAGAAACCCACCUACGUGUAGGUGGUUGACGGUAGAGUAGGAAUAAGCAUCGGCUAACUCCGUGCCAGCCGCCGCAGUAAAAC